UUCAAGUUUGUCUCUGCUACAUACCGCCUGUUCAAGGUUCCUAAAGGCAACACCAAGCCCUGUCAGGUCAUAUAUAACGGGAGCAUUACUGGAGUAGAGGACAGCUUCCAGUUUGACUGUCAGUACACGUUCAAGGUCAAUGAAGUGGCGGAGGUAGAUGGAGAGUUAGCCACCAUCCUGACCAAGUCCAGAUUUACAGAGGACUUCACUUUCCAGCCACCUGGAGGCCCCAGUGAGCCCUGCGGAGCCAAACCUAAGGCAGGCAUUGUGGAUCCUUUCGAGCUGGUCCUUCAGCUGGAGAAACAGAGUCCAGGUUCAGCCACAGGGGGAUGCUGCAGCACUAAGUCUGCUACCUGCUGCAAGUGAUUGUGGGAAGAGCACUGUGAAAUACAGGCUCAGCAUCAUAAUGUGUUUGCAUCAUAACAGUAGUACAAAUGUACUGACUUAAUUUUGCAUCAUGUAGUGUCAUAAUCUUGUGUCUUAUUAACAUUUCAAAAAGAUUUCAGCAAUCAAAAAAAAUCAAAAUUAAUAACUUCAACACAAACAUCUGUGCUGUUGAUGUUUGGCGCCCACUUUCCUCUUAAUCCCCACAACCUCAUUUAAUUUAUUCAUAUAAAAAUGUUGCAUGAGUAUGACUUUUGGUUUUAUUAAGGCAGGAUCCAAAUCCCUACAAAUUCAAAACUUGUACAUAAUCUUGGACAGAACUGCCUUUUUUUCAUAAGGCUUUUUUCCAUCUGUCUACAAUCUUAGACAUCUGAAUUUCUUAACUGUGCCAUUCACACCUUCAUCAGACUUUCCCACCUAUGCCUUCACAAAUAACAUCAGUACUGUUGUAAUACCUCUAAUUUAAUUGUUUUUUUAAAUACAUAAUAGUAGUAGUAGUAGUAGUAGUAGUAGUAGUAGUAGUAGUAGUA